GGCAAUGUGGCCUAGUGGAUAGGGCAAUGGACUGGGACUCAGGAGACCUGGUUUCAACUGUCAGCUCUGCCA
rnacentral:tRNA from 1 species